GUGCCAGCAGCCGCGGUAAUACAGAGGUCCCAAGCGUUGUUCGGAUUCACUGGGCGUAAAGGGUGCGUAGGCGGUCGCGCAAGUUUGACGUGAAAUCUCCGGGCUUAACCCGGAAAUUGCGUUGGAUACUGCGUGGCUCGAGGAAUGGAAGGGAGACUGGAAUGCUUGGUGUAGCAGUGAAAUGCGUAGAUAUCAAGCGGAACACCAGUGGCGAAGGCGAGUCUCUGGACAUUUCCUGACGCUGAGGCACGAAAGCCAGGGGAGCAAACGGGAUUAGAAACCCCCGUAGUCC
rnacentral:rRNA from 1 species